rnacentral:snoRNA from 1 species
AAUUUAUGGUAGGGGCAGUCACGUUCAUACUCUUUAAAACGCUCCCAAAGUUCAUAGAAAGGUUCGGCCGAUCCUUGCUGGAAACUUGAGAUCUUGGUUCUCAGUAAUU